rnacentral:rRNA from 1 species
GGGCUACACACGUGCUACAAUGGCAGAUACAAAGAGAAGCGACCUCGCGAGAGCAAGCGGAACUCAUAAAGUCUGUCGUAGUCCGGAUUGGAGUCUGCAACUCGACUCCAUGAAGUCGGAAUCGCUAGUAAUCGUAGAUCAGAAUGCUACGGUGAAUACGUUCCCGGGCCUUGUACACACCGCCCGUCACACCAUGGGAGUGGGUUGCAAAGAAGUAGGUAGCUUAACCUUCGGGAGGGCGCUUACCACUUUGUGAUUCAUGACU